UACAGAGGGGGCAAGCGUUGUUCGGAAUUACUGGGCGUAAAGGGCGCGUAGGCGGCCUGUUAAGUCGAACGUGAAAUCCCCGGGCUCAACCCGGGAACUGCGUCCGAUACUGGCAGGCUUGAAUCCGGGAGAGGGAUGCGGAAUUCCAGGUGUAGCGGUGAAAUGCGUAGAUAUCAGGAGGAACACCUGCGGUGUAGACGGCUUACUGGACGGUAACUGACGCUGAGGCACGAAAGCGUGGGUAGCAAACAGG
rnacentral:rRNA from 1 species